rnacentral:rRNA from 1 species
UGGGGAAUUUUGGACAAUGGGCGAAAGCCUGAUCCAGCAAUGCCGCGUGUGUGAAGAAGGCCUUCGGGUUGUAAAGCACUUUUGUCCGGAAAGAAAUCCUUGGCUCUAAUACAGUCGGGGGAUGACGGUACCGGAAGAAUAAGCACCGGCUAACUACGUGCCAGCAGCCGCGGUAAUACGUAGGGUGCAAGCGUUAAUCGGAAUUACUGGGCGUAAAGCGUGCGCAGGCGGUUUGCUAAGACCGAUGUGAAAUCCCCGGGCUCAACCUGGGAACUGCAUUGGUGACUGGCAGGCUAGAGUAUGGCAGAGGGGGGUAGAAUUCCACGUGUAGCAGUGAAAUGCGUAGAGAUGUGGAGGAAUACCGAUGGCGAAGGCAGCCCCCUGGGCCAAUACUGACGCUCAUGCACGAAAGCGUGGGGAGCAAACAGGAUUAGAUACCCUGGUAGUCCACGCCCUAAAACGAUGUCAACUAGUUGUUGGGGGAUUCAUUUCCUUAGUAACGUAGCUAACGCGUGAAGUUGACCGCCUGGGGGAGUACGGUCGCAAGAUUAAAACUCAAAGGAAUUGACGGGGUCAUAGCUGUUUCC